rnacentral:misc_RNA from 1 species
GGGACCGCUGGGCCAAAAUGCACGCGGAAAUGCAAUUUUAAGUCCUUUCCUGCCCAGACACAAAACUCUUUGGGCAAAAAUUAGAAGCAUUAUCUCCAGCAAAAUUUUAGGAAGAGAAUCACGACAAGGAAAUGCAGUGCUUGCAAGUAUUUGCUUCCGUGAGUUGAGGUUUGUAUUGAUAUCCACAAUUAUCAUACCGCAGCCCUUAAAUCUCCAUCCUUCCAUCCUGCAAGUGGAGCCAUGCCACCAGACCUUACAUUAAUUGAAUAAUGCGUGGAGCUGCUGUUGACAACCAGACGACAAGACCUACCAGAACAAUUUUUUUUUAAAAGCGUGCUCUGCGCAUGCGUGGUACUGCCUUCUUUCCAUGUCUGUGACUUUAAUGUGUCUUUGACGCGCCUGUAUGCGACUCUCGUCAACGAACGAGGCGGCUGUGUCAGCGCUCGCAGCACGGAACGGAGGGCGAGAUCUUCCAUCCACUCCCCGCAGUCCCAGAGUUGCGUUUGUCGUCGUCGGGCCUUGCGGCAGUCGCAGCAGCUUGGUUGGCAGGCGGCACCCGCCCGGUCUUUUUCUUCGCUGGUCUUGGCUGCUGUCGGCACGCACAGGAACUCUGCGAACGUUGCAGCGGUGCUUAGCAGCUGUUGCGGGACGUGCGAACCAACGGUUCUUUUUUUUUUCGCCCUGCGUCUUCAACUUCUGUGCCAAAGGCUAUCCUCCCUCCCCUACCCCCCACGGUCACUCCCUUCCCCAUGAUCUGCUCCGUUUUGUCCUCCUCCUCCUCCUUCUCCUCCCCCUCGAUCCCUCCCUUCAUCUUUUGUGGCGGGUGUCGUAGCGGUGGCGCUGGCGUUGUUCCUCUACAUGCAGGUGCACAGGACAGCGCGCGUGUUGCACGUGCUGGCCUGUCCGGCGCCGUCGUGACGUUUGGCGUUGUGGCGGUUGUACAGUUGGCUACAGAGAUACAUCACGUGCAGAGUCACAGAGAGAAGGACCUCACGCGCACACACCUACUUCUCUGCUCCACCAACGUCCUGUCCACCUGAUGCGCUCAGCCAAUCCGUGGAUUUGUUUUUAAACUAAAGACUGAAGUUUACCCAGUUUAUCGUAUCAUGCAGGUUUACCUGUUCGGACUGUCCAGUGUGAAGGAAUGCGAAGUAGCUUGAAGGACCAGGGGAUGGAGUCUCCAUACAACUGAACGACCCAAGACUGUGUCCGUUAUGUAACCGCGUUCUGUCAGCUUCCAAAACGUUUGUUGCUGGGACUGUCUUCCGUUUCUUCUCCGGAGUUUCAGAAGGACGUAAAUGAAAUAAAACAACGGUAACCAUAACCUGUGCUGCUGUAGCUCGAGAGACACAACAGACCACCUGUUGGAAUGUGCAGACCACCGCCUCUCAGGUGAGAGACUGGCACAUCAGUGCCAGGUGAGACUGGAGUGACGUGCGUGCUUACCUGGUGGUGAAGUGACGUUCGUGUUCAACUGGCCUGUGCACCGGGGCUCAGCAUCCCAGACCUCCUUAGUAUGUUACAGUCGUAGUUGAGUCGGAUUGUGUGAACGUGAGUGCAAAAAAACAAAACAAAAAAACUACUGAAAUUGUUUAAAUCGUUUAGUAAAACGAAUGGGAGACCUGUUUGCGCAGACACUUUGUGACACGUGACACCUUUCCCUCAAAGAAGGAGUGCGCAGAAGAAUACAACCGUCUCGGCGAGAACAAAGGACACGGUUGAGACAGAAAAUUGCAGCAACGGUUAGCUUGACGGGAGGAGUGACAGUCUCAGAGCUUGACACUAGCAGCAGCGGAGAUUGCAAUCGCUGCAGCAGCAGCAGCAGCAUCCUUCCCACCUACACAGGUUGUCUGCCGGUUGAUGGCGCGUCGUCUCUGAUCACAGUGAUCAGUUUUGUGUGAACAUUUCUGUGUGAACAGCUCCACGUAACCAGCGAGAGGUUGCGGGGGAGGAGGAUGUACCUACCUGUCGCAGGAAACUCCAAGGAGCACCAGAACAUGGUUCAAUUCUGCUGCUUUAAUGUGCUGGCUGAGGUCUCGCCACUUUGGGCCACACACUUCACCUUGAUCCACACCUGCGUGUAACAAAGCAGCCGCCACUCGCCGCAGUCGUCGUCGCUGUUGCUGUUGCAGUCAAUGUUGGAGCACACCAGACAAGGGGAGCGCAACGGGAAGGCCGUGGGAUGCAGCGACUCGCGACGAUGUAGACCGUGGACCUGUACAAUGGAUGUCCUCUCCAUGCUCAAGCACACCAUCAUCUCCAAUGAUGUCAACCCCAUCACCAACUACUUCGACCUCGGCCGCCAGACGGGCAGCGCUGGGCCUGAGCUGGCCUGGAAGAUCUUCGAGGCCGUACGCAAAGAGGAUAAAAAGGAGGUGUCGGUGUUCCUGUUCGAGAAGAAGAUCGCUGACAAGCUUCACAAGCCCAGGCGAAGGGACGUGGUGACGGAGGUACUCAAGAAGGAGCCCUGGUACCUGGAGAGGUUUCGCCACCCGCAGAUCCUUGGACUCGUGCACGGCAUCGAGGAAUGCCACGACAGCAUCGCCUUCGCCACGGAGCCGGUUCUUGCCAGCCUGGCUAACGUCCUGGGAAACUAUGAGAGGCUGCCAGCGAACAUUCCUCAGGAAAUCAAGGAUCACGAUUUUAUCGAGAUGGAGAUCAAGCUAGGAAUUCUCCAGAUAGCCGAGGCGCUCAGUCACCUGCACAGCACGGAGCAGCUUAUUCAUCGCAACGUCAACCCUCAGUCCAUUCUGCUCACCUACCGCGGCGUCUGGAAACUCGCCGGCUUCUACUUCGCCGAGAAGAUUAAAGACGGCAAGGAGUCGUCUCCAGUUCAGCCGUGGACCAACAAGGUGCCCAAGAUGGCGCAGCCUGACCUCAACUUUUUGCCACCGGAAAUGCAGCUGGGACGCACUUGCUCGCCUCUCUCGGACAUGUUCUCCCUGGGCAUGGUGGUGUGCGCCAUCUACAACGCCGGCCACUCCCUCAUCGCCGCCGACCACAACCCAAACCUCUACGUGAAACAGCUAGACCAGAUGCACGACAUGUUCGGGGUGGUGGCCCACAAGAUGCCCAUGGCGCUGGUGGAGCCGGUGGAGAAAAUGAUCAACAAAGACCUCCGCUAUCGACCUUCUGCUCACCUCUUCUCACUUCUCAAGUAUUUCAACGACACGGUUGUGAUCAAUCUCCACGCCCUGGCCUGUACAGAUCGCCGCGAUCCUGCUGGCCGAGCUGAAGCUUACGUGGGUCUUUCCCAGGUCAUCCCCAACAUACCCAGGAAGGUGCUAUACAAACACGUGCUGCCGACUGUGGUGGACGACUGCAAGAUGUUCGACUCCAUCAUCUACGCCUUGCCCACACUGCUCACCAUCAUCGACUUUGCCACGCGCGACGACUACUGCGACCUCAUCCUGCGAGACUUCUGCACCGUCCUGGGCAUGCCCAAGCCUGUACAGGCCACAGUCUACAUCUUGAACAAGCUGGACAUUAUCCUGACCAAGACGCCCCUAGAGGACAUUCGGACAGAGAUUCUGCCCAUGGUCUUCAACACCUUGGAUUCCUCCUCCCUCCAAGCACAGGAAGCAGCCAUAGCUGCUAUUGGAGUAGUCAAGGAGUACCUGGACGACAAUAUUUUGAGAAAAAUGGUGCUGCCUAAAGCUAAAUCCCUCUUUUUUCGCUCCACGAACGUGAAGAUGCGGAUCAACGCCCUGUCGUGUGUCGACCAUCUGCUGGAGAGUCUGGACAAGAUGCUCAUCCUUGACGACGUGCUGCCCUUCCUAACAGACAUCACUUGCCAGGACCCGGAUGUCAUCGUCACGAUCGUUAGUAUCUACAAGCACAUGCUUAGUGACAAGCGCUUUGGGUUGACACAUAACCUGCUGGCGACAAAGGUGAUGCCAUCCCUGAUCCCACACACCGUCAAUCCAGGUCUCAACAUGGAACAGUUCAGCUCCCUGAUGGAGGUAUUGCGGGACAUGCUGGAGCAGGUGGACAAGCAGCGACGCAACAAGAUGAAGCUGGAGACCGUUACCAUCCCCGUCCCUCACAGAGGCUCAAUAAAAAUGCAGCCCGGAGAAGAGGGCAACGACUUGGCGGCUUUGCUGGAGAGCCGACUCCUGAACCAGUCCAAGAGCAAACCUGGUCCAUACUCGUGCACGCCAGCUCCCAGUACCCCAGAGCUGCAGCAACGUCCGAGAGGCAGCAGUCCCAAGUCUCAGCGAAAAAAUCACACUAUCCAGUCUCUAGGCAUGAGUCUGGAUGAGAAGAGCAGCCUGGACAAGCCCUUGGACAUGCAGCGCCGCCACUCCCUGGUGCCCCCGUCCUCAGGGUACGCCCACCAUCUCCAUCACCAGCGAGGACGCCCACAGCCCCGACCGAUCCCGCCGUCCCUCCACGCACAGCCUGGGGCCCUUCAGCGUAAGUGGCCUUACGGAGUACCUAAGCCAUCAUCGAGGGAGCGGCGACCGCUCGCGACGGCCGUCCACCCACAGUGUGGGCAUCCUGCCCAUCUCCAUGUUCGGGGAGGGCGGGGAGCGACCCCGGCGCCCCAGCACCCAUAGUUUGGGGGUCUUCCCCAUAAGCUGUUUUGGGGAGGAGGCCGGCGGAAAGGGCGAGCGACCUCGCCGACUCAGCACCCAUAGUCUGGGCCCACUGGUCGUCCCCGAGCUGGAGCGGCGAGCAGCAAAGGUAGCAUCCUCAGUUCCUUCGGACUGAGUGAAGGCCCGCCAUCCACACUGCAUCAACGCAGACGCCAGUUUCCAGGCUUUUGGAGAGAGCGUGAUGCAGCUGUUUGGAACCAAA